ensembl:lncRNA
AGCUGAAUGGCCUCUGCUAAAGCUCACUAAGGUAUUUUCAUUCUCCUAAGGAUGCUUGCCAGUUUGGGUGACCACAGAUGUUACUUCCGAUUUCCAGUUAUCUGACUAGAAAAUGGCAUGGCCCAGGAGAAAGUGAAGCAUUCCUGUUUUCCCAUAAGGACUUAAGAUGCUUUUAUCCUCACGUGGGAUCGGGUUGGCAUGAAAUAUUUACAAUGACAGAUGAGUGGUGCUGUAGUAAGUGCUCCCACUGGAUUCAUUAGGGACUAGGUGGGUAUCACGAAAAUCCUCAUGCAGAAGAGGGAGCCUAUUUAGCUUUGAAUGGGAGUUAUUGGAGAAGGGGGUGUGGUGAUCAUGGCUAAAGGGGAUUAUAGCAGAAGUUGCCUCUGUCUCAGCUACACCCAGAGACCUUCAUUAUUUGCUAGCAUUUAGUCCUCUACAGUUGCCCUCCUCAGAGGGUGUGAAGCCUGUAGUAUCAGAGUAGGAGCAUCAGUUAUCACUCCAAGUCCCAAACUCACUUGUUAUUUUAGUCUGCUUUCCUGUGACUCACUUAGGCAUACAAACUUUACUUGUCAAUGGUCCUUGGCUCUUCCAACUAAUAAGCCUCAGCACUACUGAAUUUAUAUUCAUUUCCUUUUCUCACAUAAAAAAUAGCAAAAGGGAAAAUUGAAGGAACUGAAAUGUUUACACAAAUUAGUUAGCUCACCUAUAAUUGUUUUUUUAAUAUAUUCUAAAACGUGUGCCUAAAAAUGUGCCUAAAUUCAUGUCUAAGAACUUGAAAUAUUAUCCAAGGUCACUAUUAACAUAGGAUGCUCUGACUGGUUAGAUGGCCGUAAGGCAACCUCUGUCAUGAAGAGUUUAGCUUAGCUUUGCAGCCUGAAUUAAGGUCCUCUGAGUAUUCUAUAAUGUUUCUACCUUUCAGUCUGCUUAGUUAGGAUGGGCUUUUUCUAACCCUCCUUAAAUAUUAGACUCUGAGAAUAUUUUUUUUCUUACUGUGGGUUGUAAUGGUUUGAAUGAAAACGGUUCCCAGAUGUUCAUGUGUUUGAAUACAUGGACCCAGUUAGUGGGACUAUUCGGGAAGAAUUAGAAAGUUGUGGCCUUGUUUGUAGAAGGUGUGUCACUGGGGGCAGGCUUUGAAGUUUCAAAAGUCUCAUGCCAUUCUCAGGCCCCCUACCCACUUACCCACCUCUCUCUCUCUCUCUCUCUCUCUCUCUCUCUCUCUCUCUCUCUCUCUCUCUCCUUCCCUCUCUCCCUCCUUUCCUCCCUCCCUCUCUCCCAGCCUCCUACUUAGGAUCAAGAUGUAAGCUUUCAGUUGUUUUUGCCACCAUGCCCGUAUUCCACACCAUGCCCAUAUCCCGCCAUCAUGAAAUCUAACCUUCUGAAACCAUAAGCCAAAAUUUAACACUUUCCUUUAUAAGUUGUGUUUGUCAUGGGUCUUAUCACAACAACAGAAAAAUAACUAAGAUAUGGGUAAUUCCAGGGAUAAUUUUUCCAACUGAAACAGAACACUAUCACUUACUUUUGAUUGACAGAGUCCAUUAACCAUAUACCUGAAGAAUACUUUUCGAAGUUCUUAGUCUAUUUUGCAGCCAUCUGGGAGCCAAUCCUGCCCAAGCAAUUGACCAAGUACCUGUAGCCAUUCUUUUCUUGGUCCUAUUGAACUACUAAAUAUGUGUCACUGGGCUUCACAAUACCAUAGUUCUUAAACAUGGCAUCUAGCUAUUCCCUGCCUGACCAAAAUAAAUAAAUAAAUAAAUGGUUUUGCUUUUAUUUUUGCUCAAUUACCUGGCGUGGUGUGUAUUGAGAAGUAUCUGGGAAGUUGUCAGAAUGAGUGCUGUCUCUGAUUAGCAGCCUUUCCUGGAAAUGGAUGUAGCAUUCCAGGACCUAAGAUGUAUCUUGGCUUAAGGCUUUCCUUCCUUUCUGGAACUUGUCCGUGAUACUUCAUAGCAUCCUGAAAACCCACUUCUCCAUCUCACAGAAGCAUGGGAUACACUCAAGCCUGAUUGAUGUGGUUCUACCCUGGACCACAUCAGAGCAUUAGGAAGCUUUCCUAGAGAGAAGACUGAAGUCUUCCCGCUAGCCUCCUCUGGUAGAGAAGGCUUGGGAAAGGGGCCUAUAGGCUUCCCUGGUAAUUUUACAGUACCUUCCUCAGAAACAGCUGCCUACUACCUGCAUCAGCAUGUUCGCCAUUGUGUCCGAUGAGUCUCUGAAUAAAGACAGCGCAGGGGUGUGAAGAAUCACGUGGAUCCCCUGGAAAGCUACCAAGUACCUGGCGAAUUCCUAAGAAGGAACUCAAAGCCCGUGGGCUCCCUUUCUUUGUCUCUUCCAGAUAUCAACUCUGGUCUUUUUAUUCCAUUUUAGUUUUCAUUUUUACUGUUUUAUUUUCCUUUGCUUUGCUCGAGUCAGACUUUCAGUAUGUGAAGCCCAGGCUAGCCUGGAACUCACUUUAUAGCUCAGGCUAGCCUCAAAUUUGUGCUCUUCCUGCAUCCGUUCCUCAAGGGCUAGAAUGACAAGUGUUUUCCACCAUACCUGUCCAGUCCAGCAGACUUGUUCAUCUGUGCUUGAAAGGAGGCGUGACGAUUGAGGGAAGAAAUAGACAAGAAACAGAAGAGUCCGGAGGGCAUCCAGUGAAUACUGUGGACCCACCCCAAGUUUAUUGCUCAAAGUUGUUAUAUACCCCAAUCAAAAAGGGUGGGAGGAAAAAAUACUUCCUUACCAAGAAACAACGAACAAACAAAUGUAAUUACCUCCAUAAAACCCAAAACACCAAGUAGCCACACCUUAGGCCAAACAUCCUGAUGUUUAACUUUGAAGAAGCAAGAAUCGGCCCAAACUCUCAGACCCCAAGUCAAGAUGGAAUGGAGCCACCUCUGUGGGCCUACACACAUACUGGGUCACUUCGACAGCUUGAACUACCAUCAACACACUGAGGAUACCCUGCUUCUACCCCCAAGCUCCUGUUCCCACCUGCCUCCUGUGCAUCUAAAACAGAACCAGUUUUCCUCCUGACGACCCUAAAAUGAUUCCUGUCUCAGUUCCCCAUUCACACUAAGGAAACAUUUUUUUUUUUUUACCCAGUUACACAGGGAAAAUUUUUAAACUGUAAUCUCUUUUCAUUUCGCAUUUACAGUAGCAAUUAAAAUGUCUUAUUAGGAAUCUCAAAAUAAAUACCACAUCAAGCUAGCUCUGUUCUCCCUGUCCCUCCCAAGAGAGCUAUUGGCAGUUGAAGACUACGAGGGAGGGUAAGUGGGUGAGCUGUCCAUGCUCCAGUGGAUGGCUCCAUACCAGAGCGUACAUGGUGACCCUUGUUGAACUCAGUAGAUCAUAAACCAAAGAAAGAUAUGGAAGAAGAACAGGGACUAGUUAGGAAAAAGUGGGAGACCUGUGAAGGAGAACUCGGAGAAGAGAGAAUAGGAGGUGAAUGUGUUAUCAGGAUGCAUUACAAACAUCUGUAAAGUUAUCAAAAUGACGUUUCUACCCAAGAUAAUUCUAUGCUACCCCAUCUGCUGCCUCUUAAUCUAAGCCUCCAUCAUCUCUUAGCUUGAAUCCUUAAAUGCCAUAACUAGUCUUUUAGUGGCUGUCCUUAAUCACCUUAAUACAUUCUUGCUAAAAUGUCUUCCCCUGGAAGUCAGCUUUCUGUCAUUAUAAUACCUAAGAUAGUUAACUUAUAGAAAAGAGAGAUUUAUUCAGUUUCACAUUUAAAGAUUCCAGUUCACAUGUAGUUGGUGCUUUGCUCUCAGGCUUGCAGGACAACAAAUCAUGGCAGAAGAUUGUGGC